CAGAGAAAACUUUGCCUCUCCCCUCUCCUCUUGCGCCGUUCAUCGCCUCAAAAUAAGGGCUCUCCGAAUCCCAUGCACGGUUCUGAUUGCGGCGGAGCGAGCUCGAGACCGGUCACCAGGUAAAUUUCCUUUCUCUAAACUUACCCCGUUUUUAAAUUUCUACACUAACAAUGAAAAAAAAAACAAAAGAGAAACAUGGAAAAACAAAGAAAGAUUUCAAAAAUCACCUUAUGAAACUAGGUUUUACACUAUUUUCUUUGAAUAUUUUCUUUUUCGCUUUUUUAUUCAAUCUCGUAUGUAUGUGUCCCCUUUACAGUAUUCCAAUGGCUCUUUUAUAGCCAGAUUUACAGAAAAAAUAAAACAAAAUAAAAAAAAUGAAAUUCCCUCAAAUCCCAUCUGUUAUCUGUUGCUGCUAGCUUUCGUCUGUAUUUGCAGGUAUUCGGCCAGCCUGGAACAACAGAGAGAGGCAUAUCCAUGUGAAGAAGAUGCACGCGCCUGAUGGUGUUGCACGCGCAAGGUCUGGGCCUGAGAGAUUUGGGUUUAGAAAAUUGGGUUUGGGGUCUAUUAGUUGAUUCAGAUUUAGGGUCUGUUUAGGUUUGGCUGAUUUUCGGCUAGUAAUCUGGGUUUAGGUUUAGUAUUUGGGUUAAGGACUGAAUUAGGCUUUGAAUCUGUAAAUGGACAUUUAUUUUUUGAAUUUUUGAUUUGAUUUUAAUAUUUAUAAAAACUAGGCUGUUAAUAGUGAAUAUUUUAAUUUAAUUUAUUUUCUGGUAUUUAUUAGGCCGGGCAAAAUGGGUUAUUACACUAAUCUUGGAUCCAACAUCCAACUUGUUGGGGUAUACAAGAAAAAGACAAUCAAGGGUGUUUCAGAUUUUCUUUUAUUCCUUAAUCCUCCACUAAAACCAUACGCGUGCUUUGCACCAAAAAGCCUCACUCUUUUUUCUGCAACUUUAUCCAAAAAAUAAUACUCAGUUUCCUCAACCCUUUCUUUAUCUGAUCUUUUACAUGAAAGUUUG
rnacentral:lncRNA from 1 species